rnacentral:misc_RNA from 1 species
UAAUUAUGCUAGAUGUGUGAAUCAAAUUCUACAGAAUCUAAGCAAUAUGCAGUUGUGGCUAAGAAUUCCAUUGGAGAAAUCUGAUGAUGAUGAAGAUAGAAGUCCUAACUCUAUGGGUGAAGAACAUAGAGAUUCAUGGGAAAUGUGGAACUCAUUCCGCACUCUCGGUGAACAUCACAGUCAGCUUUCAGUUGCUCUUGAUAUUUUAUCCUCAUUACCCUCUGUGAAUUCACUUGCGCGGUGGUUUGGGGAGCCUGUUAGAGCUGCUAUAAUUAAUUCCAAUUCUUUUCUCACCAAUGCCCGUGGCUACCCCUGUUUGUCAAAACGACACCAAAAUCUAUUGACGGAUUUUUUCAAUCACUCAAUUCAGAUAGUCAUCUCUGGACAGCAAAUGCAGAAUUUCCCCACGGGAACUUCAGUGUCAAAUUCUCACAGUAGUAAUAAUCAAAGUGAGGGUGUUGAGGGCAUGCAGCGACAUCCGCUAAGGUCAUACCUGGACUACAUUGCUUAUUUAUACCAGAAGAUGGAUCCACUUCCUGAACAAGAACGCUUUGAGCUUGGUUAUAGGGAUUACUUACAGUCUCCCUUACAGCCUCUCAUGGACAAUUUGGAGGCCCAAACUUAUGAAACAUUUGAGAAAGAUACGACCAAGUACAUACAGUAUCAAAGAGCAGUUGCGAAAGCUUUAGUGGACAGGGUUCCAGAUGAAAAGGCAUCUACAAUCACUACUGUCUUGAUGGUUGUUGGGGCUGGACGUGGGCCUCUUGUCAGAGCUUCAUUGCAGGCUGCUGAAGAGACUGGACGCAAGUUGAAAGUUUAUGCUGUCGAGAAAAAUCCAAAUGCAAUCGUCACCCUACAUAGCUUACUAAAGAUUGAGGGCUGGGAAAAACUUGUCACCAUAGUUUCAAGUGACAUGCGCUGCUGGGAUGCUCCUGAGAAUGCUGAUAUUUUGGUUAGUGAAUUGCUUGGGUCAUUUGGAGACAAUGAGCUGUCACCUGAGUGU